GGUGCCCAAAAGGUGGGGCCCACACUCCUUGGUAGCUAGGGAGACAGUAUGGGUACCCCACUGAUUGGAUGGCUCCACCUGGCCCAACUCAUCCCUGCAUCCCGGCUCUGUUAUCUCUACCUGACCAGACCCACCCUUGAGGGGAUAUAGCUAAAUAUUUAGCU